rnacentral:rRNA from 1 species
GAUGAACGCUAGCUACAGGCUUAACACAUGCAAGUCGAGGGGUAGCAGGGUAGCAAUACCGCUGACGACCGGCGCACGGGUGAGUAACACGUAUCCAACCUUCCCAUAACUCGGGGAUAGCCUUUCGAAAGAAAGAUUAAUACCCGAUAGUACUUUUUUGAGGCAUCUUGAGAAAGUUAAAGAUUUAUUGGUUAUGGAUGGGGAUGCGUUCCAUUAGAUUGUUGGUGAGGUAACGGCUCACCAAGUCUUCGAUGGAUAGGGGUUCUGAGAGGAAGGUCCCCCACAUUGGUACUGAGACACGGACCAAACUCCUACGGGAGGCAGCAGUGAGGAAUAUUGGUCAAUGGGCGAGAGCCUGAACCAGCCAAGUAGCGUGAAGGAUGAAGGUCCUAUGGAUUGUAAACUUCUUUUAUAGUAGAAUAAAGUGAUCCACGUGUGGAUUUUUGUAUGUAUACUAUGAAUAAGGAUCGGCUAACUCCGUG